rnacentral:rRNA from 1 species
UACGUAGGGGGCAAGCGUUGUCCGGAUUUACUGGGCGUAAAGCGCGCGUAGGCGGAACUUCAAGUCCGGUCUGAAAGCCCCCGGCUCAACCGGGGAGGGUGGCUGGAAACUGGGGUUCUUGAGGGCGAGAGAGGAGGGUGGAAUUCCUGGUGUGGCGGUGAAAUGCGUAGAGAUCAGGAGGAACACCCGGGGCGAAGGCGGCCCUCUGGCUCGACCCUGACGCUGAGGCGCGAAAGCGUGGGGAGCGAACGGG